AUGCAAUGGUGUGGACAUUGCCUCAAUAAUUCUUUAUACCUCUCCCAAGCUUCAUAUAAAGAUUCCCCCUCUUGCUGCAUGAAUGAUGUAAUUUCUCCUCUUAGUUU